GCCUUUUGAUUUCUAGUUCUGUUUCUGGGACCUGUGACCUCAGAUCAGUGAUGAUAAUUUUGUUCUAUGAAAUCUGUACUCCAAAAAGCAUGUUUGUAUUGGAAAAUUGACCUUCAAUUCAAUAUAAAAGCAUUUAUUGAAGUAAGGAGUUUACUAUGUAAUCAAUGAGGAACAUUUAGUUGUUUUUCAACAAGAAACUGAUAUGAAUCUGUAUUUUAGAAAACUUGCUCUUGAAGCACUGUGAAAAGUAGAGCAGAAAUGAUUAAAGAAGCAGGUUUCAACCUCAAAAUGAAUGACACUCCUCUCCCUACCCAAGCUGUGAGAUUUUCUAGAAAUUGCCAUGCAGCUGACAGAACACUUAGUUCUAACCUCCAUCCAGCCUUAUUCCAUACCAGGCCAAAUGGAUCCACCAUCUUCUUGUCUCACAUUGUCAACAAGCUCUUCCCACCUAAAGAAAUGGAGGAAAGAUGGAAUGGGUUCACUCAUUGUUUUAGUUCAGACUGCUAUAACAAAAAUACUAGUGGCUCAACCAACAGACCUCUACUUCUCACAGUUCUGGAGCUGGAAGGUCAAAAUUAAAGUACCAACAGAUACAGUGACUGCUGAGCGCUCACUUCCUGGUUUGCAGAAGGCUGUAUUCUUAUUGUAUCUUCACAUGACAGAGAGCAGAGAGAGGAAGCAAACUCUCUCCAGCCUCUUUUUAGAAGAGCUCCAAUUCCAUCAUGAGGUGUCCACCCUUACAAUCUAAUUGCUUUCCAAAGGCCCCCAUCUCCAAAUACCAUUGUCUGGAGGGUUGGGUUUCAAUAUGUGAAUUUUGACAGUUAGUUCAUAGCACGCAUCCAAGAUAGGAGGCUGGAACGUUUGGUUGUGAUCUGUUCAAUGAGGCUCACUGAGGGAGCUCACAGUGCACCCUUUUGGAAGCUUUGGGCAUGGAUACAGGACACCAUUUUCUUUGGGGCUGGUGAAUGACCGACCAGUUUCCCAGGGUCUCCCUGCUGAGCUGGGUAAAGGAGCACAAGGGCAGAGAAACCAGGGGGCCAAACAUCAUUUUCCUUUUUCUUACCUAUCUGUGAACUCUGAGGUGCUGAGGGCCAUUUCUCUACCUCACAAACAUAGAGAACUCCCAGGAUUCUCCACAAACCUCUCUGUGGUCCAUUAGGGUCAUGUACAUUAACUUUCAUCAUUGACUAACAGUCACUCUUACCAUCUGAUUUCCUUAAAAGAAAAUAACUUCUAACCAGACAAUAUUUGGACUAUGCUUUCAAAAUUAGUUUUUUAAAGCUUCAAAAUUUGGUAAACAGUCAGGCAUAUUUGAAUUGCUUCCAUAUUUCUCUCUGCUACCAGAAGACAUUCUGAUUGUCACUUAGCACCCCCUUGAUUAAAAUAAAGACAACAGCUCAGUGCUGAGUGUUGGCUUUUCCUACUACCCUUCCUUACCCAUAUGCAGCUGUCUGCGUACUGUCUGUCUGUCUCUCUCUGUUUCUCAAGAGAGAGGUUGUGAUAAUUUACAAACACUGGACAUUAGGUCAAUUUCAGUUGCUCUUUUCAAUUCCUAACAAACUUUUCAGGGGCAUUGGGAAAUUAUG
rnacentral:lncRNA from 1 species